AGGACGAACGCUGGCGGCGUGCUUAACACAUGCAAGUCGAACGGAAAGGCCCUGCUUUUGUGGGGUGCUCGAGUGGCGAACGGGUGAGUAACACGUGAGUAACCUGCCCUUGACUUUGGGAUAACUUCAGGAAACUGGGGCUAAUACCGGAUAGGAGCUCCUGCUGCAUGGUGGGGUUGGAAAGUUUCGGCGGUUGGGGAUGGACUCGCGGCUUAUCAGUCUUGUUGGUGGGUAGUGGACUUACCGAAGGUCUUUGGACGGGUAGGCCGGCCGUGGAGAGGGUCGACCGGCCACGUAGUUGGACUGGUAGACGUACCGGCCCUAGACC
rnacentral:rRNA from 1 species